rnacentral:rRNA from 1 species
GACGAACGCUGGCGGCGUGCCUAAUACAUGCAAGUAGGACGCAGUUGCGAACGGGUGAGUAACGCGUAGGUAACUACCUAUUAGAGGGGGAUAACUAUUGGACACGAUAGCAAAUACCGCAUACUAGUAGAUGGACCUGCCUUGUAUUAGCUAGUAGGUAGGGUAAUGGCCUACCUAGGCAACGAUACAUAGCCGACCCGAGAGGGUUAUCGGCCACACUGGGUCUUAGACACGGCCCAGAUACCUACGGGAAGCAGCCAUUAGGAAUCUACGGGAAUGGGGUGAACCCUGACCGAGCAACACCGCGUGAGUGAAGAAGGUUUUCGGAGCGUAAAGCUCUGUUGUUAAGGAAGCGGUACGUAACCAGGAAGGGACGGCUAACUACGUGCCAGCAGCCGCGGUAAUUC